rnacentral:rRNA from 1 species
CUAAAUGCGGAAGAGAUAAGUGCUGAAAGCAUCUAAGCACGAAACUUGCCCCGAGAUGAGUUCUCCCUGAGACUUUAAGUCUCCUGAAGGAACGUUAAAGACGAUGACGUUGAUAGGCCGGGUGUGUAAGCGCAGCGAUGCGUUGAGCUAACCGGUACUAAUGAACCGUGAGGCUUAACCUUACAACGCCGAAGCUGUU